rnacentral:misc_RNA from 1 species
GUUAACUACGCCUCUUGUCAUUUCCGCCAAAUCUAGAGGCGAUUUCUCCAACCUCCUUAACUCAGCCUUCCUUGUGACCUUUAUACUUCUUUCCCUCAGCAGAGCUCUCUCUGAAAAUUUCCUUUUUACAAUAUUUUCUCUCCGCAAUGGCUCAAGUGGUAGCUACCAGAUCCAUUCACAGUUCAUUGCUCUGCCCUAGCUCUGGUUCCCUACAAGACCGAGUUGAUAAGUUGAAGCCUUCAAGUUUUGCUUCGAAA